CAACACAACAGAAACCACGACAACCAUGACUCUGAUCACCAUCUUCAUCUGGACACUGGUCUGCUGCUGCCUCAAAGGAUCCAGAGGUCAGGUGACUGUGACUCAGCCUCCUGUAGUGACAUUUUCUACAGGAGACCCCGUCACUCUGACCUGUAGAACCAACACUAAAGUGUACAAAUGGGAUAAUGGAAAUGAGGGUGCGUACUGGUAUCUACAGAGACCUGGAGAAGCUCCCAAACUCCUGAUAAAAAACGUAAAGACACGGCUAGAUGGGAUUCCUGCUAGAUUCAGUGGCAGUGGGUCUGAGAGCGACUUCACUCUGACCAUCAGUGGAUUCCAGGCUGAAGAUGCAGCAGUUUACUACUGUAAGAGUUUCCACUAUCUCAACAAUAUAAAUAUCUUCACACAGUGAUUUAGAGCCCUACAAAAACCUCCUGCUCGAAAUACACACAUCACUGGUCCACUGGACACAGAACUAAUGGUCUUGUUAUAUGACAUCACCAAGUACAACCACUUUACUAACUCAGAAAUAAUGGUUACAAACAAGUUUCAUAACUCUUCCAACCUCCCAUGUCUACAAAUGUCCUCCUUAUCAGAAAGAUGGAGGUGAAAUAGUCCCAUUGAGGAUGAAUAAUCCAUAUCAUGUCAACAUAUAAUCAUGUGUGAAGCAAAAAGGUUUGUAUGCCUCAAUGCUUGGUUGACCAACCAGACACACGCAGCUGGCCAACACUUCUGUGUAGCAGUAUUGGGUGUGUAAGUGCAUGACUGUAAGUGACAGAGAGAGAGCCCUGUGAAACAGAAACUUAGAUUUCCAUGUCCCCUCUCCCAGAAUAGAGCAGUACACUCCCCAGAUGUUCCCCCAUCCUGACACGACACCAGCGCUAGACCAGAGGAGGUCAAAGAUCAAAGUCAGAGGUUAGAUGUCAGUCACAGGUCAUUUUAUAGGUCACUGCACUGAUCUUGUGUGGUGUGCACAGGAAGAGGUUGGACACAGGUCGUCAGCCAGACUGGUAAAGGUCAAAGAUU